rnacentral:rRNA from 1 species
GGAUGCGAUCAUACCAGCACUAAAGCACCGGAUCCAUCAGAACUCCGCAGUUAAGCGUGCUUGGGCGAGAGUAGUACUAGGAUGGUGACCCCCUGGGAAGUCCUCGUGUUGCAUCCU